rnacentral:rRNA from 1 species
UACGGGGGGAGCAAGCGUUGUUCGGAUUUACUGGGCGUAAAGGGCGCGUAGGCGGCCUGUGCAAGUCAGUUGUGAAAUCUCCGAGCUUAACUCGGAACGGUCAACUGAUACUGCUCGGCUAGAGUGCGGAAGGGGCAACUGGAAUUCUUGGUGUAGCGGUGAAAUGCGUAGAUAUCCGGAGGAACACCGGUGGCGAAGGCGGCUUCCUGGACCGACACUGACGCUGAGGCGCGAAAGCUAGGGGAGCAAACGGG